rnacentral:snoRNA from 10 species
CCUGCAUGAUGAUAAGCAAAGACUGACUCAAAGUGAAGGUCUUAUUAGCUCUACCUGACGC